GUGCCAGUGGCUCACAUCUAUAAUCCUAGUUACUCAUGAGGUUGAGCCCUGGAGGGUCUCAAUUCAAAGCUAACUCUGAGUAGCAAGUCUGCAAGACUCCAUCUCCAAUUAACUAGCAAAAUGUCAGACUAAACAUGUGGCUCAAGUGGCAGAGCACCAUAGGUGAGCCUUGUAAGAGGUCCCAAGAUCAAGCCACAGUACUGAAACACAAACCCACACACAAUCAGGAUUACAUACUGUUUAGUUAACUUGCUUCUCUCUCCAUCUCUUCCUACACAACAAUUUGGCUCUUACUCAUAUCCUUACAUACUUCUCUAUGACACUAUGUUUACCAAAGCCAAACAGAUAAGUCAAGGUGUCCAACAACAAGAAAUAACUGAACUGGUGAAUAAUGAAUAAAGAAUGUGUGGUACAUGGGACAUUACACAGCCACAAAGAAAACUGAAAUCUUGCCAUUUGCAGAAAAUAGAUGGAAUUGUAGAACAUUAUACUGAGGAAGAUAAACCAAGCUCUAGAAGCAAAAUAUGUUUUUGCUUUUAAUGUGGGUAUUAAACCUAAAAGACAUUCAUAGAUGUAUACAUGUGUCUACACCACACCUAUAUAUGUAUAAAUAUAUAUACACACAUACACAGACCGUGAUUCUAACCAUUGGGACUAUGUAGAAAGUCAAGAGGAAGAAGAGAAGGGGAAAAUAAAAGAUGGAGAGUGAAUAACUUCAAAUACAGAAUAUGGCAUAAAGAACUACAAUGAAAGUAAAUAGGGGAAGCAUUAGAAAGCAAUGGAGGGUUAUUCUGAGCAAAACAUAACACACGUGUCUGAAAUACCAUAAUGAAAAACCCUUUGUACAUACAUACAUUAAAUUAAUACAUACUUUAAAAAGGGGGGGAAGGGGAAGGAUAACAAGAACCAAGUACAGCCUUGGAUAGAGACUAGGCACCAGCAGGAGAGAAGAGAGCUCACAAAGAGUGUGACUAUAGAUGAACAGUAUUGCUGUAGUUUAUUUGCAUGUCUGGACAUAAAAACUACUGAAAUUGUUUUAAGAAGUGAGACUGGGAUAAGAUAAUGAUAGAGGGUGAGGGAGACCAGGAUACAUUGCACACACGUGUGGAAAUGUCACUAUCCGACUCACUUGUUGGACUAGUGUAUGCUAAUAAAAAAAAAUCUCCAACCCAAUCUUGCUCCAAAUACAUUUUACCAGAAGCUCUUGCU